GAAAGUUUAGUCUUUUAAAAAAAUGAGAGGAAAAUUUUCAAAACCAACAGAUGUAUGUAAAUAAAGAUCUUGCUGAGGGAAGACGUCAAAAACACAGGAGACAAACUUAGGGAAAUAUUUGCCUACAAGCUUAUUCUACAAAUUUUAUUGAGGACCUACCAUGUGGGCAGCAUCAAGAAUACAGCCCUGAACAAAAAGUGACAAAAUUCCCCCCCUUCUUGGAGUUUAUAUUAUGGUGAGGAGACAGAUGAACAAGUAAAACAUAUAGCCUGUUGGUUAGUGCUAAAGACUCGAAGUAACCAAAGGAGCAAGCAAGUCAUCCUCCGGAAGAAUCAUUCAGUCAGAAAGUACAACACAAUUCAAAAAGUUUUGGGGAAAACUUGCUGGAGGAACUGCACGGAGCAGUGAGGCUGGAGGGUGAAAUCCCGGAUUGCCCUUGGUCUUCCAGUCUUCUGGUCUCCCAUUAAGAGCCCUCAUCAGCUGUGCUGACGACAACAGACAACACAGGAGCCAGAAAUCUGUAUAUCAUCCCCGUGAAGGGGAUCAAGGGACGACUGAACAGGCCUCCUGCUGCGGGUGCGGGUGACGUGGUGAUGGGCACAGUCAAAAAAGGCAAACCAGAGCUCUGAAAGAAGGUUCGUCCAGCCGUAGUAAUUCAACAACGAAAGUCAUGCUGGAGGAAAGAUGCUAGGAAUGCAGGCUGAUACAGAGGUCUCGCACUGGCAACUCAAACAGGACUCCUGCUAUUGCCAUGGGCAACAUCAUUCUCCACGAUGGUGAACAACUCUCAGUAACGGUCCAAACCGAACCAAGAACAGAAAAAUUCAUGGUCUGUUAA